AGCUUAGUACAGAGCGUAAUCAUGUACACGGAAGAGAAGCAACCUCGUAUAAAAAGCGUA
ncrna:unclassified sequences GP20-b RNA